rnacentral:lncRNA from 1 species
CCCCACCACCCCGAGCUGCUGGGCAGGCAGCAGGGUGCUGAGGGGCACCGCCGCUGGGACAGGGCCGGGUGCCAGGAGGUGGGUGCCAGGAGGUGGGUGUCAGGAGGUGGGUGCCACGGCUGCCACUCCUGGAGCUGCCGCCUGGGCUCCCAGGAAGGUCCGGCACUCGUACCCCACCCGGCGGCUCUGCCGAUCGCUGCACAGUAAUCAAUAACUUGCUGUUUAAACAAACUGGCUUUCUGUUCCACUUAGAGUCAUUUCCCUCGUGUUUCACUCAGCGCUCCAUCCACAAUUUUACGUGUUUAGCAAACUAUGUGCUCCUUGCUGCUUGUGCUAAUCACUCGGCUGCUAGCAGCACGCCUGUGUGGAAGCGCGCUCUGAUGUGAGCUAUUUCUGUGAGCCUGACUCACUUUUGUUAGCGCCUUUUUCAUUUGAGACCCUGUCUGGAGAAUUGCCAUCCCAGAGCUCUCUGCCUGGAGUGAGCAAUUAUUGACAGUACACAGGGAGAGGAGAGUUUUAAAGGUGGCAAGGCUCGUAAUGAAUAUUUUAACUGCUUUGCUGGACUAAAUUCAGCUUUCACGAAACAGACUGGAACCAGUGGCCCGGUACCAAAUGAGAACGGGCAUGGAGCAUACCCGAUACCAUAAUGUCCCAACAGUGCAUUUUUAAAGAAAACUGCUCUUCAGCAGGACAAGCUGUGCCGUCGGAUUGCCGCCCCUGCCCGGCUUCCAGGCACGCUGCUGCCAGGGCUGCCUCCCACGGCCUGGGGCUCGGCACCGUGCCACCAGAUGUCAGGAGUGAAAGGAGAACAAGAAAACCUUCCUCUGACAGCAUCAUGAAACGAAGACGAAAACCUCCUAGAAGUGCUAAAAGCCAAAAGUGCCUGGAAAUGCCUGCCUGGGCUGGGCUGCUCUCCGGGACAGCCGUCCCCGUGCUGCCCGCAGCCACGGCCCCAUGGUGCAGGGACAGGAUCCUCAUCCAGCACCUGGCAGGAGCAGGGUGCUGAGCAGCCCCACUUCUGCAGGGCACGCCAGGUCAUGCAGGGAGAUCAGUCUGUGGAGACAGCCCUGGAAAGGCUCAGAGUUUCCAUUUGUCAUUUUAAGUAUUAAAAGUAGUGUUUUUCUUCAAAUGCAGUCUUACAAGUUAUUCAUUUUAAUUUGGUACAUCCUUGAAGGUGAAUUUAAUACCAUUCAUACAUUUUCAUUUAUAAAUUUGUCAGUAAUAAGAGUGUUGGCACAUGGGAGAAAGUAACUGCAUAAUUGCAACUUACACGCUUGUCUUACUGAAAAACUGCUAGCUCAGGAAUCGUCUGCGCCUGUGCGUCAUGCAUGAAAUUGCAAAUAGAAUUUAAUUUGCCCUUGUAUCCUGUAGGAUCAGCUUAAAAUGAUUAAUGCAGGAGGGAAUGUUGUCAAGAUUUUAUUCAUUACAAUCUCAGAGGACUGCAGUGCAAAACUAUCAUGUAUAACAUGAUCAUGUAUAAAACACAGCUUUCUAAACUGCUUUCUUGUAAUAAACAGUCACAUUUCUACUCUGUAAUUUCA